AUACAUAAUUGCAAACAAAACGACCCGCAUCCUCCGAUAAUAUCACGUUGUAGCUUUUCGCCUUCAACCUCUCUAAGAUGGUCGGAGCCGAGCAGGAUGUCUUGAAACAAUGAUUGACAACAUACAAUAACAGCUCAAGAAGUAAGAGAGGAAAUCAACCUGAGGCUGCCAUCCGAGUUCGUCUGGAUAACGAAAAGUAGCUUCGUUUACAGCUUGCCAUUCAACAGCAAACCUCGCCGAACCACUAUUGACUCCUAAGUGAAGCUGAACAAACAUGAACAGAUCCUCUCCAGGUUUGAGUAUUCAUUAUUAAUCAUAUCUCAGCUAUACACAAACGGAAAUUUUGCUACAUAGCAGUAUAUACAAAAAUUUUCCUUUG